rnacentral:rRNA from 1 species
CAGUCGCCGCGGUAAAACGUAGGUGGCAAGCGUUGUCCGGAAUUAUUGGGCGUAAAGGGCUCGCAGGCGGUUUCUUAAGUCUGAUGUGAAAGCCCCCGGCUCAACCGGGGAGGGUCAUUGGAAACUGGGAAACUUGAGUGCAGAAGGGGAGAGUGGAAUUCCACGUGUAGCGGUGAAAUGCGUAGAGAUGUGGAGGAACACCAGUGGCGAAGGCGACUCUCUGGUCUGUAACUGACGCUGAGGAGCGAAAGCGUGGGGAGCGAACAGGAUUAGAUACCCCCGUAGUCCCUGUCUCUUAUAA